UCGCUGAUGACUGUGUUCCCAUGACCUUCCUGGAUGUAUUGAUGCUGAUGUGAGGAGUCUGAUU
rnacentral:snoRNA from 1 species